rnacentral:sRNA from 1 species
GCUUGUUUUGCCCCACAAUUACUGCUGUAAUCUUAUAAGAGUAUUUUUAGCUGCAAACUCUUAAGAAAAAUACAGCCAAUCGCCUUGGCAACACACACUCUUGCAAGAGCGGAGACCCAGGCAAACCAGCUGGGAAUAAAUAAAGUCAAGGUGAGGACCUGCGACAAUCGCACACACACGAUCGCCAGUCGGAAUACCCAUUGCUCUGUCGACCCGCAUUAAUCACAUAUCGCUGGCUGAAAGGGUGAAUUGCUGGCGGUUGCUGAUGUGCGAGGUGUGGGGUUUUUGGGGGUCGGGGGUCCUCUGUGGGUGACGUUUUUAUAUUGUCCGAUGUCACCGCCACCCAUCUCGACCCCAAAGACCCACAACCAACCCCCCCACCUCCACCCCUUUGGACGACACCACCGGAAGCCGUAAAAUCGCACACGAGAGCUCCGGCAUAGGCCGCACAUGAAAAUUGCCACAGGCGGGAAAAGUGGGGGGAAAAAAAAUGGAAAAGCGAAAAGCGAGAACCGAAAACUGAAAACCGAAAAGGAGCGAAAAGGACGAAAACUCGGCCGCAAAUCCGACAUUGCAUUGCCACCAAUAUACCAGAGUCACCCAUCGCGGAAACAUCGCGGAAACAUCGCGGAAACAUCGCAGAAACCACCCAUUGCAAGCCGCAGAGGAAGAAUACACUUUGGGUGCACUUUUCUGUGACCAAAGCUGGUCCAAUUCUUGUGA